CUAGGUUUUUUCUUUGCCUCUUUCUUCUUCCCUGGACAUACAACCUAAGGCAACCAUCGACGAAUUCAUUGACGAACUCACCACUACCAACGGCUAAUCGGAGAACUAAGUUACGAUUGGCGACUUCACUCCCACUGGCGACCUCGACACAAUCGCUAGCAAACUACAAAUUUAGGUGUUUAAUAGAUACAAUGGUGUGAUUGAUGGAGUCCAGUUCUCAUCACAUGACCCUGUAGGUGGCCUACUAGCUAGAUCUACCCAUUGAUCCAUCUGCUGGUAUUCGUUGUGCAGAGGUUUGUUUCUUGUUGAAGGUAAGGUGUAAGGGAAGUUCACAUUUGGAAACCAGCCAAACAGUGUUGGAGGAGAACAUAUGCUUGUG